CGCUUAUCAAGAAAGGCAGAGGGAAAUGGCCCGAUGAAGCCUUGACAACCUGUUUUCCACCUCAAAAUGGAAAGUAAGGUGCCAAAUCCAGCCCGCAAACGGAAUCCGGUUGCAGGGGAGAUAAGUC
rnacentral:ncRNA from 2 species